rnacentral:rRNA from 1 species
UACGUAGGGUGCGAGCGUUAAUCGGAAUUACUGGGCGUAAAGCGUGCGUAGGCGGCGCGUUAAGUCAGGUGUGAAAGCCCCGAGCUUAACUUGGGAAUUGCGCUUGAGACUGGCGUGCUGGAGUGUGGCAGAGGGAGGUGGAAUUCCACGUGUAGCAGUGAAAUGCGUAGAGAUGUGGAGGAACACCGGUGGCGAAGGCAGCCUCCUGGGCCAGCACUGACGCUCAUGCACGAAAGCGUGGGGAGCAAACAGG